AUACGGAGGGUGCAAGCGUUGUUCGGAAUUACUGGGCGUAAAGCGCGUGCAGGCGGUAAGGUAAGUCAGAUGUGAAAGCCCCGGGCUCAACCCGGGAAGUGCAUUUGAUACUGCCUUUCUUGAGUAUGGGAGAGGAGAGUGGAAUUCCCAGUGUAGAGGUGAAAUUCGUAGAUAUUGGGAGGAACACCCGUGGCGAAGGCGACUCUCUGGACCAAUACUGACGCUGAGACGCGGAAGCGUGGGGAGCGAACAGGAUUAGAAACCCCAGUAGUCC
rnacentral:rRNA from 1 species